UACGAAGGGGGCUAGCGUUGUUCGGAAUUACUGGGCGUAAAGCGCGCGCAGGCGGUCCUUCAAGUCAGAGGUGAAAGCCCAGAGCUCAACUCUGGAAUGGCCUUUGAGACUAGAGGACUUGGGUACGGGAGAGGUGAGUGGAAUUCCGAGUGUAGAGGUGAAAUUCGUAGAUAUUCGGAAGAACACCAGUGGCGAAGGCGGCUCACUGGCCCGUUACCGACGCUCAGGUGCGACAGCGUGGGGAGCAAACAGG
rnacentral:rRNA from 1 species